AACGAACGCUGGCGGCAUGCCUAACACAUGCAAGUCGAACGAGACCUUCGGGUCUAGUGGCGCACGGGUGCGUAACGCGUGGGAACCUGCCCUUAGGUUCGGAAUAACUCCCCGAAAGGGGUGCUAAUACCGGAUAAUGUCUUCGGGCCAAAGAUUUAUCGCCUUUGGAUGGACCCGCGUUGGAUUAGCUAGUUGGUAGGGUAAAAGCCUACCAAGGCGACGAUCCAUAGCUGGUCUGAGAGGAUGAUCAGCCACACUGGGACUGAGACACGGCCCAGACUCCUACGGGAGGCAGCAGUGGGGAAUAUUGGACAAUGGGCGAAAGCCUGAUCCAGCAAUGCCGCGUGAGUGAUGAAGGCCUUAGGGUUGUAAAGCUCUUUUACCCGGGAUGAUAAUGACAGUACCGGGAGAAUAAGCUCCGGCUAACUCCGUG
rnacentral:rRNA from 1 species